CCCACCAUUGAAUGAACAGACCCCAGAUGU
rnacentral:piRNA from 1 species